rnacentral:rRNA from 1 species
GGUGAGUAACACGUGGAUAACCUACCUAUAAGACUUGGAUAACUUCGGGAAACCGGAGCUAAUACCGGAUAAUAUUUUGAACCGCAUGGUUCAAAAGUGAAAGACGGUCUUGCUGUCACUUAUAGAUGGAUCCGCGCUGCAUUAGCUAGUUGGUAAGGUAACGGCUUACCAAGGCAACGAUGCAUAGCCGACCUGAGAGGGUGAUCGGCCACACUGGAACUGAGACACGGUCCAG